UUUUUUUUCCCUUUUUUUUUUUUUUUCCCCCCGGGGGGGAAAACCCGGGGGGUUUUGGAAAAAAAAAAAAAAACCCCCCUUUCUUUUGGGAAAAAGGGGGGGCCCCCCCCAAAAGGCCCAAAAAAAUUUCCCCCCAAAAAAAAUUUUUUCCCCAAAAAAAGGAAAAA